GUUUCUGUAGUGUAGUGGUUAUCGUGUUUACCUAAAACGCGAAAGGUCCCUGGUUCGAAACAGGCAGAAACA
rnacentral:tRNA from 1 species